ncrna:unclassified sequences lysM-Prevotella RNA
CCGUUAGAAAGGGAUAUGAAAAUCUGUCCCGGUGCCUAUAGGCAUCUGAGUUUGAAACAAAAUAAC